GAGGAGAGGUGUAUAGGGAUUCAUCGAUGAAGGGAGGAAAAAGAGAGUGAAGACUGCGUCUGGAGGGUCUGGAGGCUCAGGCGGCUCGCUUGGAGUUAGAGUCUCGAGCGGUACAGAAAGUUUACACGGGGGCGGAUCCGGCGGAGGCCUUGAACGCGGCUGAGGCGGAGGUUUCACCAUCGAGACCGGAAGAGGGGCACGAGCUUCUUCAGAGGGUGGUGGAUUGAACGUCGAAGCUGGAUCGGAGAAGAGCCAUACAGGGGCGGCGCCUAGGGAGGCGGGCUUGGGAGCGUUUUGUCUAGGUUUAGUUGGCUAAACUUGUAAAUGACUAAAUGUGAGAAAGUGUGUGGACAUAGGCACUCAGGUUAUCUUCGCUAAUGGAGGAGUACAUGUGAUUAUGUAUUCAUAUGU
rnacentral:lncRNA from 1 species